rnacentral:lncRNA from 1 species
CUCAGUAUCCUAAGACAUGACAGACAAGGCCUUCCUAAGCAGACCCUUCUAUAGCAGCCUCUGAUGCUGGAUUUUAAUUAGACUUGGGUUCUAAUUAGCUAAUGGAAUUAAAAAAAAAAAAGACAACUCACCAGAUUCCUAAGUGUUAAGCUAAAGAGUACUAUUUACAAACAGCAGGAUAAGAUUUAAGUGCCUGGGGGAGGGACAUGAUGUUUAAAACUUACAUAGUAGGUCUGUUUUGUUUGUGAAGGAGUAAGUAGGGAACCAGGAAUGGGAAUUCUGGGAAUAAGAAUGACUUUCUAAAGACUUAAGACAAGAAUCUUAGAAUAUUCUUCUCCCCCAAACCAUAGUCAUACACUGAAAACUUUUGGGUUUGAGCUACAAACUACACCAGGUACCACCCCAGAUAGAGGGUGUCUUGGGUGACUGCAUGUAGAGCUUGCUCCUAGAAGGAAAGCAGAGGCUGUAAGAAGCCAAGGGAUGCCUGCCUAUAUGGAAGGGGGAUGCUGCUGUGGUUGAAUGGGGGUCAGUCAUAUUGUGGAUGGACACCAGAAUGGUUCGAAAUGGAAGCUCACCCUAGCCUCUAACAUAGGAGACAGGAUCAGCUGUACAGUGAAGGCCUCUGUGUGACCGUUCUGCCUGCCCCUGCCUCGGGAGGAAACAUUCUACACCUGGAUGCCUAGCUUCACUACAAAACACAGCUUGGAAUGAUGGGAACAAUUAAGCUGAUGGUUACUUUUGCACUUGAAUGGUACUGCACUGUCAACCCCCAAGGCUCAUUUUAAGUGACCUUUAAAAUCAGAUGUAUUUAUUAUGCUCGUGCAAUUACAGAAAUGAAGUGGGAGACAGGCUGAGCCCCACCUAUGAAUGUACAGUAUGUGGAUUGUGAAAGUGACUGUAGGGAAUCAGAGCGUUGUAUCUUGUGUUUACAAUUCUGGUUGAUUUCUUUGAAAAGCUGCUGGUUUGGGAAAUGCACAGUGGGUGUAUUGAAAUAAAAGGUAAAUACCAUUUUUAAAUAUUUCGUAAAUGAAAAACACGUGACCAAACAAGAGAACAUCCUCUGCUCUGUAAUGAAUGACACCAAAUUCAAUAUGCCUUCGUUACAAAAUGUUUACUGUGAGCGUCGAUCCAACAGUGCAGUAAUUUCUAGCCUUUUGAGCUGACACCUUCACGAGUUUGUGGACUUUGUGACUUUUUCUUCCUGUUCUUACAGUGCCAUAUGUCACUUGAAAAAUAUUAAAGUGAAUUCC